rnacentral:rRNA from 1 species
AUUGAACGCUGGCGGCAGGCCUAACACAUGCAAGUCGAACGAGUGGCGGACGGGUGAGUAUUGUCUGGGAAACUGCCUGAUGGAGGGGGAUAACUACUGGAAACGGUAGCUAAUACCGCAUACCAUCAGAUGUGCCCAGAUGGGAUUUGCUAGUUGGUGGGGUAACGGGUCACCAAGGCGACGAUCCCUAGCUGGUCUGAGAGGAUGACCAGCCACACUGGAACUGAGACACGGUCCAGACUGCUACGGGAGGCAGGAGUGGGGAAUAGUGCACAAUGGGCGCAAGCCGGAUGCAGCCAGGGCGCGUGUAUGAAGAAGGGCUGCGGGGUGAAAAGUAGUUGCAGCGGGGAGGCGUUACCCGCAGAAGAAGCACCGGCUAACUCCGUGCCAGCCGCCGCGGUAAUUC